CAGGUGGGGCGCGCCCUGACGUGGCGCCAGUAAUAGAGCGCCCACUGCAAAGCCACCGAGCCAGGCGCCUUAGACCCCCGCAGAACCUUCUUCACAAGCCCUUCUGUGUCUCCUUGCUCCUCAGCGUAUUCUUGUAACUCCAUUUAUUGGUGAGAAUGGUGUCAUAUAAAUUGUCUUAGCCAGUUGUGAUGGCUCAUGCCUGGAUUCACAGCAUUUCUGGAGGCCAAGGUGGGAAGAUCGCUUGAGGGCAGGAGUUCGAGGCCAGCCUUGGCAAUACAGAGAGACCCCAUCUCGUGGUGGGCAGUACAGAGGAGGAUGAAGAGGCGUGGUCCACCACAACAGGUUACCCAGAGAGGCUGCAGAGAGUUUAAAAGGAAGGAGAGGGAUCACCAGACCAUGAAGAGGCUAAAGGACAAAACCGUGGAGAAAGUACAGGCAUACCUGGAAGAUACUGAGGCUUCAGGUCCAGACCACUGCAAUCAAGCCACCUCGAGGAUCCUCCAUGGAACGGAACAAGAGAAUCCUGAGAAAUCUCUGUAAAGGAACAGAAAGAAUGAGAGAGAAAAAUGUGAGUCUGACCACCGGGUGCCUGGGACCUAUGUGCCACCCAGGUUUGGAGCAAGGCUGCGGGGCAGAUGAUGUCCAGGAGAGCCUCAGAAAGUCCGGGCUCUAGAAAAAAACCACAUUCCAGCUCACUCUGCUCUGAACUGCAUCUGCUCUGUGCUGAAAGCUUUGUUGCUGCCGUGAAUAUAUUUAGGGGGAAUAAAAUGUGCAGUAUCAAAGCGACUGGCUUGGAAUGGGCUGGAUGCAUCUUAGGCUCUGCAGGGGGAAAAGGCCUCUAGCUAGCAGUUGACAGAAGGGGGAAGGCAGUGAGGACUGGGCCCACCCACGGGAGUCUGGGCAUGACGCGGGUCCUGGUUCCCAGGCUGCCCUAUGGGAAUAUGCUCCAUGGGCUGGGGCUGCUGUGCUGGCUGCUUUUGCCCCCAGGGGGUCACCACGCUGGGCUUCUCCAUGCUGGGCUAUCAUGAUAAUGCCCAGGGUUUACGGGUUUACGGGCAUUAUCUCGCGCAGUAUUGUUUUGCUCCCUUUCACAAAGAAAGGAAGGAAAAGAGAGGCAGGAGGAGAGAGAGGAAGCCAGACAAGCGUUCAGCUCUGCUAGUCGUUCCUUGCCUGGGUUAGGCUUCCCUGGAAAGUAGCCCACAUUGUCUCGUACCUUCUUCAUCUGACAGCCAGGUGCUCCUACUGGGAGCAUACCUGUAGUAGGCCAUCGCUGUGCCAGUUGACUGAGAAAGCAGUGUCCCUGCUUUUCUGGAAACUUUCAUACAACACAAUUCCCGAUGGAAAGCAUUUAACAAUUAUGGGUGGGGCUGUGAUCAAAAAGUAAACUCUAGAAAACGUUAACAGCUAAGCUGGGCGUGGUGGCUCACACCUGUAAUCUCAGCACUUUAGGAGGC